CCUACGGGUGGCAGCAGUGAGGAAUAUUGGUCAAUGGCCGUAAGCCUGAACCAGCCAAGUAGCGUGAGGGAAGACUGCCCUAUGGGUUGUAAACCUCUUUUAUGCGGGGAUAAAGGUGUCCACGUGUGGAUGUUUGCAGGUACCUCAUGAAUAAGGACCGGCUAAUUCCGUGCCAGCAGCCGCGGUAAUACGGAAGGUCCGGGCGUUAUCCGGAUUUAUUGGGUUUAAAGGGAGCGUAGGCGGGUCUUUAAGCGUGCCGUGAAAUUUUGUGGCUCAACCAUGGGAGUGCGGUGCAAACUGGAGAGCUUGAGUGCGCGGAAGGCAGGCGGAAUUCGUGGUGUAGCGGUGAAAUGCUUAGAUAUCACGAAGAACCCCGAUUGCGAAGGCAGCCUGCCGAAGCGUGACUGACGCUGAAGCUCGAAAGCGCGGGGAUCGAACAGGAUUAGAUACCCGGGUAGUC
rnacentral:rRNA from 1 species